UCCGUGCUUGUAGAGGGAAAAUUCGGACUGUUUCCCCAACUAGGGCUGAUUCCCUUUGCUCUGAGGUUGGGGCAUGAGUGGGAACCCAGUGCCUGGCACCUAGUGAAGGCAGCUAUUGUGAUCUCCAGGGUCCGGGGUUGGGAGGCUCAGUGCCCAAAGGUGUGUGGCCCAGCCAGAGGCCGUGGGAAGGGUCAGUGCUCAAGAGUGAGUCCCA